GGCUCAGGACGAACGCUGGCGGCGUGCUUAACACAUGCAAGUCGAACGGAAAGGCCCGCUUGCGGGUACUCGAGUGGCGAACGGGUGAGUAACACGUGGGUAACCUGCCCCCUGCUUCGGGAUAACUCCGGGAAACCGGGGCUAAUACCGGAUAUUCAUUGCCUGCCGCAUGGUGGGUGGUGGAAAGUUUUUUCGGCUGGGGAUGGGCCCGCGGCCUAUCAGCUUGUUGGUGGGGUGAUGGCCUACCAAGGCUUCGACGGGUAGCCGGCCUGAGAGGGCGACCGGCCACACUGGGACUGAGACACGGCCCAGACUCCUACGGGAGGCAGCAGUGGGGAAUAUUGCGCAAUGGGCGGAAGCCUGACGCAGCGACGCCGCGUGAGGGAUGACGGCCUUCGGGUUGUAAACCUCUUUCAGCAGGGACGAAUGUAGACGGUACCUGUAGAAGAAGCACCGGCCAACUACGUGCCAGCAGCCGCGGUAAUACGUAGGGUGCGAGCGUUGUCCGGAAUUAUUGGGCGUAAAGAGCUCGUAGGCGGUCUGUCGCGUCGAAUGUGAAAACCCGGGGCUCAACUCCGGGCUUGCAUUCGAUACGGGCAGGCUAGAGUUCGGUAGGGGAGUCUGGAAUUCCUGGUGUAGCGGUGAAAUGCGCAGAUAUCAGGAGGAACACCGGUGGCGAAGGCGGGACUCUGGGCCGAUACUGACGCUGAGGAGCGAAAGCGUGGGGAGCGAACAGGAUUAGAUACCCUGGUAGUCCACGCCGUAAACGUUGGGCGCUAGGUGUGGGGGUCCUUCCACGAUCUCCGUGCCGCAGCUAACGCAUUAAGCGCCCCGCCUGGGGAGUACGGGCCGCAAGCUAAAACUCAAAG
rnacentral:rRNA from 1 species